rnacentral:lncRNA from 1 species
UCAAAGCUAACGUUAGAACCCUAGCAAAUAUUUUAGGGUUCUUGGGAGUUUGGAGAGAUCGCCUCGUCUAGCGGCAAGUAAGCGAGAUUCUUGUGCUGGGAUUGAGGCACAGGCCGCAGAUAUACUCCGAGCUUCCUCGAAUCGGAGAUGUUUUGGAUCAUUUCUCCAGCUUGGGAGCUUCUGCCACAACAAGAUCGACGAAAUUCUGCCCAGGAUCGCCGAAAUCUUGCUUGCUGGGGACGAGGUCGAUCGCAGGACGGUCGAAAUCUUGCUUGCUGGGGACGAGGUCGAUCGCAGGACGGUCGAAAUCUUGCUCGCCCGGGACGACGCCGGCAGCAUUGAUCUCCAUCGCUGCGGUCUCUGCAUGGCCACUGGGGACGGGGCCGCAGCGAUGAUCCAG